rnacentral:rRNA from 1 species
UACAGAGGGUGCGAGCGUUAAUCGGAAUUACUGGGCGUAAAGCGCACGUAGGCGGCUUGGUAUGUCGGGUGUGAAAUCCCCGGGCUCAACCUGGGAACUGCAUCCGAAACUGCCUUGCUCGAGUAUGGGAGAGGGAAGUGGAAUUUCCGGUGUAGCGGUGAAAUGCGUAGAUAUCGGAAGGAACAUCAGUAGCGAAGGCGACUUCCUGGACCAAUACUGACGCUCAGGUGCGAAAGCGUGGGGAGCAAACAGG